GGCGCCUUGGCUUAGUUGGUUAAAGCGCCUGGGUCUAGUAAACAGAGAUCACGAGUUCGAAUUCGUCGGUGCCU